rnacentral:rRNA from 1 species
UCGUGUGUGUCGCCGGUUGUUAGCCAUCUCGCAGGACGGCCCGUUCGCCGACCGUGGCAACAAAGAGGCCCGGCUGGGCUUCGUCGUCUCCUCCCAUGGCUAGCGAGUAAAGAAGCGUCGCAGGAGUUCGGUGCAGUGUAGUCACACGAAGCGAGUUCGUGGCCACACGCUGCCUCGUCUCUGUUUGCUUGAUGCAAGGCUCGCGGGAGUGAUUGACGGUUAGCGGCGAGUAGAUCGGUCACCCACCUGACCCGUCUUGAAACACGGACCAAGGAGUCUAACAUGUGCGCAAGUCAAUGGGUCUUGAACAAGCCCGGCGGCGCAAUGAAAGUACAGGCCGGAGGAGUCCGGCCGCAUUCGGGAUCCCCGCUCCCUCGCGGGCGGGGCGCACCGAAAGACCCGCCGCGUUCCAC